rnacentral:rRNA from 1 species
GUGGGGAAUAUUCCGCAAUGGACGAAAGUCUGACGGAGCAACGCCGCGUGAGUGAUGAAGGUUUUCGGACUGUAAAGCUCUGUUGUUUAGGACGAAAGUGCCUGUUGCAAAUAGUUACAGGUAUUGACGGUACUGAACGAGGAAGCCACGGCUAACUACGUGCCAGCAGCCGCGGUAAUACGUAGGUGGCAAGCGUUGUCCGGAAUUAUUGGGCGUAAAGAGCAUGUAGGCGGGAAUCUAAGUCUGUUGUGAAAAUGCGGGGCUCAACCCCGUAUUGCGAUGGAAACUGGGUUUCUUGAGUGCAGGAGAGGAAAGGGGAAUUCCCAGUGUAGCGGUGAAAUGCGUAGAUAUUGGGAGGAACACCAGUGGCGAAGGCGCCUUUCUGGACUGUGUCUGACGCUGAGGCGCGAAAGCUAGGGGAGCGAACGGGAUUAGAAACCCGAGUAGUCC